rnacentral:rRNA from 1 species
GAUGAACGCUGACAGAAUGCUUAACACAUGCAAGUCUUUGGCGAAGCUGUGCUUGCACAGCCUAGCCAAGGCGGACGGGUGAGUAACGCGUAAGGAACUUGCCCUGCAGUCAGGGAUAACAGACGGAAACGACUGAUAAGACCUGGUAAAGUCAGGCGGACUCAUGUCCAGCCUGAUGAAAAGAGAUGCUGCAGGAGAGCCUUGCGUCCUAUUAGCUUGUUGGUGGGGUAACGGCCCACCAAGGCGAUGAUAGGUAGCCGGCCUGAGAGGGUGGACGGCCACAAGGGGACUGAGAUACGGCCCUUACUCCUACGGGAGGCAGCAGUGGGGAAUAGUGGAAAAUGGGGGCAACACUGAUCCAGCAAUUCUGUGUGCACGAUGAAGGUUUUCGGAGUGUAAAGUGCUUUCAGCAGGGAAGAAAAAAAUGACGGUACCUGCAGAAGAAGCGACGGCUAAAUACGUG